UCGCUAGGCUCUCUAAAUUGACUCAGCUCCAGAUCUACACAGAAGUUGCUAAAUACAAUGCUGUACAUCAACAGAAGUUGUGCAGAAAUAGUAAAAUUUUCCUUUAUCUCCACCUGGGAAGUCUGAAAACAUCAUAGGGCUUGUGACUGGGGCCUAAUAACCCCGAGGACAACGUGGUGGGCUGAGCGAAUACCUCAAUGUGCGAGAGAACGAAAAGCUCGAACCACGACCGUGCCUAGGGACCAGGCUUUUCCUGUGGCCGAUGCCGGGCAGAUGCAGACCCAGAGGCCACUCUUGCGCGCGAUCUCCAACCCGACGGUGCGGCUCCUCUCGGACCUGGAGCUGUGGGGAGAAGGCAGCCUUUUAGUGAGGAGCCGCCGCGUGGCGGGACGCAAGGAAAACCACCCGAGCCGCUGAACAGUAUUCCGCGACUGCACUCCAGGGCACCGG
rnacentral:lncRNA from 1 species